UGCACGUCACUUUCUGUCAUGCUGCAGUCGAAUGUUGGGUUUAGAUUAUGAAUCUAAACGAGGACAUAUUGGACUUGAUUAUUUUGGUCGUACAGUUUACAUUAAAAUUCUUCCCGUAGGCAUACAUAUGGGUCGACUAGAGUCUGUAAUGAAUUUGUCUUCUACUUUUGAUAAAGCUAAAGAAGUUCAAGAACAGUUCAAGGGGAAGAAGGUAAUUCUGGGUGUGGAUGAUAUGGACAUCUUCAAAGGGAUUAGUCUGAAAUUGCUAGCAUUUGAGUACCUACUACAGCAGGACCAGAGCUUGCAGGGGAAACUUGUUCUUGUUCAAAUAGUAAAUCCUGCUCGUAGCUCGGGCAAAGAUGUUCAGGAAGCAAAGAGGGAGACAUAUUCAACUGCUGAAAGGAUCAACCAAAUUUAUGGUAGAUCUAAUUAUGAGCCCGUAAUUUUGAUUGAUCGUCCGGUCCCUCGCUAUGAGAAGACUGCAUACUAUGCUGUUGCUGAAUGUUGCCUAGUGAAUGCUGUAAGGGAUGGGAUGAAUUUAGUGCCUUACAAGUAUAUCGUUUGCAGGCAAGGUUCUCCUGGUAUGGAUGAUGCUAUGGGUAUUAAAACUGAUUCUCCUAGAACUAGCAUGCUUGUCGUGUCAGAAUUUAUUGGUUGUUCCCCAUCUCUGAGUGGAGCAAUUAGGGUAAAUCCAUGGGAUAUUGAAGCUGUCGCUGAGGCUUUAAAUGUGGCCAUUACAAUGUCCGAUUCCGAGAAACAACUUCGUCAUGAGAAGCACUACCGCUAUGUAAGCUCUCAUGAUGUAGCUUACUGGGCUCGUAGCUUUAUGCAGGAUUUGGAAAGAGCUUGCAAAGAUCAUUACAGUAAGCGUUGCUGGGGCAUUGGCUUGGGCUUGGGCUUCAGAGUUAUUGCUCUUUCUCCGAAUUUUAGAAAGCUGUCUAUUGAUCACAUCGUCUCCUCAUAUAGGAGAACACAGAGAAGGGCAAUAUUCUUGGACUAUGAUGGCACUGUUGUACCUCAGUCAUCAUUGGUUAAAGCUCCAGGUGCUGAAGUUAUUACGCUGUUGAAUUCUUUAAGCAAUGAUCCUAAAAACACCGUGUAUAUUGUUAGUGGCAGAGGAAGAAAGUCAUUAAGCGAAUGGCUUGCACCGUGUGCAAGGCUCGGAAUAGCUGCUGAACAUGGGUAUUUCAUAAGGUAAUGGAUAUUUUAUGUGAACAUACACGGUCCUUUGUCCCAGUUGCCCUAUAAUUUCUCAUUAGGAAUUUUUCUUCUGAAGUUUUCCUUGGACACCUUCAUGUUAACCGGUUUCUAUAAUGUUGCAGGAGUAGUAAAAUGUCGGAUUGGGAAUGUUUGGCUUCUGACCUUGAGUGGAAACCAAUUGUGGAACCUGUGAUGAAACUUUACACAGAAACAACUGAUGGAUCAUAUAUUGAACCUAAAGAGAGUGCUUUGGUGUGGCACCAUCAGGAUGCAGACCCA
rnacentral:lncRNA from 1 species